rnacentral:rRNA from 1 species
AUGGGUUUGAAUAGAUUGAUGGAUUGCACGAUACCUUGCUUGAUCUUUCUUGCUGCGAGUCUACUACAUGUACAUGUGCACUCCGAUGCUGAUUCCUUAGAUGAAGGAUUCAUCAGCAUAGAUUGCGGGCUUCCAAGUGGAUCCAGCUACCUGGACGAGAAAACAGGUCUUAACUACACUUCAGACAAUGGGUACAUAAACAUGGGAGAGAACCACAACAUCUCUGCAGAGUACAAUGCGCAUGAACUGCUCAGGUCAAGUUUGAACCUGAGAAGCUUCCCCAAUGGAGGCCGGAACUGCUACACCUUAUCUCCUGCCACGGCAGGCCUCAAGUACCUCGUGAGAGUAACGUUCUUGCACGGGAAUUAUGAUGGUAAGGAGCGUGACCUCGUCAGGUCGCCACUGAUGUUUGAUCUCUACAUGGGGCUUCAUUUCUGGGACCGGAUCAGCGUCAGCAGCACUACAACGAUGUACGUCGCAGAGGCAAUCUUUGUGGCUGAGGUGAGCUCAAUAUCCGUUUGCUUGAUAGACAUUCACAGUGGGACUGCCUUUGUGUCGUCGCUGGAGAUGAGGCAGAUGAAAAGCUCAUUGUACCCAGUAGCCAUGCAAAAUCAGUCCAUCGCGCUCCAGGAACGGCGUAGCCUUGGUGCAAGCAGCCUAGUCAGGUGUCCGGAUGAUACCUACGAUCGUUUGUGGUGGCCAUCAAACGGUACCUCACGGUGGCUGAAUCUAUCGACAACAAGUGAAAUUAAACGUUAUUUAACUGAUACAGCUGAGGUGCCAAUUAGAGUGCUCCAAACUGCCGUCACCUCGCUUACCACCUCCAUCCCUCUCAACUUGUCGUGGGCAGUUCCUUCUGCCUGGCCGGCCAUGGCACCGCCUGGGUACUACCUCAAUUUGUAUUAUACUGAUUUCCAGAAUCAGAGCAGGCGGGAAUUUGAUAUAUAUUACAAUGGCUUCCUGUGGGAGACAAAUAAUCGGCCGGUCAGCCCAACCUAUCUCUUUGCAGACUAUACAGCUGCCACAGCUCUAUUCACUGAUGCCAGCGGUUUCUACAAUGUCUCCAUAAUCGCUACCAACACCUCUGUGCUCCCUCCCAUACUAAGUGCAUACAAGAUAUACUAUCUCAUCCAGCAUGAUGAUACCGCAACCGAUACACAAGAUGUUGAAGCAAUGAUGAAUAUCAAAAGUGAAUACCAAGUUGAGAAGAACUGGAUGGGUGACCCAUGUUUACCCGAAAAAUAUACAUGGAUUGGAUUGACAUGUAGAGGUGAUGGAGUGACAUCAAGAGUAAAAAGUUUGGACAUGUCCAACAGUGAUUUGCAAGGUGCAAUAUCUGAACAAUUUUCUUUUUUGAAAUCACUCCAAUACUUGAAUUUGUCAUUCAAUAAUUUAUAUGGACCAGUGCCUGAUUCUUUGACAAACUUAUUGUCCCUUCGUGUCCUCGAUCUAUCAGGGAAUCAUCUUGAUGGUCCAAUUCCUGAAGCUUUAUGCAUGGCACGCUCACUUACUUUAAGGUAUGACACCAUAAAUGGAGAUCCAUGCAAUGGAAAAUCACCACAUAAGGAAAACACCCUCCUCAUAACUGUCGUAGCAGUACCCGUGGUGAUAAUGGCAUUGCUGGCAUGUACAUUGACAGUGUUUUGUUUCUGCAGAAAGCAAGUUCCAAGUGUGCUACUGGGAUGUGUUGAUCUGCCAGGUCCCAAAAGUCAAGAAAACUGUAAAGGUCACAUACACACAUCCGACAGCCGUGAAUUCACAUAA